GACGAGGGGUCCUAGCGGUGUUCGGAAUCAUUGGGCGUAAAGCGGGUGUAGGCGGCCUUGUAAGUCAGGAGUGAAAGCCCUGGGCUCAACCCAGGAAGUGCUUUUGAAACUGCAUGGCUUGAGUAUCGGAGAGGGUAGUGGAAUUCCUGGUGUAGUGGUGAAAUACGUAGAUAUCAGGAGGAACAUCGGUGGCGAAGGCGGCUACCUGGCCGAAUACUGACGCUGAGAUCCGAAAGCGUGGGGAGCAAACAGG
rnacentral:rRNA from 1 species